rnacentral:rRNA from 1 species
GAUGAACGCUGGCGGCGUGCCUAAUACAUGCAAGUCGAGCGAAUGGAUUAAGAGCUUGCUCUUAUGAAGUUAGCGGCGGACGGGUGAGUAACACGUGGGUAACCUGCCCAUAAGACUGGGAUAACUCCGGGAAACCGGGGCUAAUACCGGAUAACAUUUUGAACCGCAUGGUUCGAAAUUGAAAGGCGGCUUCGGCUGUCACUUAUGGAUGGACCCGCGUCGCAUUAGCUAGUUGGUGAGGUAACGGCUCACCAAGGCAACGAUGCGUAGCCGACCUGAGGAGGUGAUCGGCCACACUGGGACUGAGACACGGCCCAGACUCCUACGGGAGGCAGCAGUAGGGAAUCGUCCGCAAUGGACGAAAGUCUGACGGAGCAACGCCGCGUGAGUGAUGAAGGCUUUCGGGUCGUAAAACUCUGUUGUUAGGGAAGAACAAGUGCUAGUUGAAUAAGCUGGCACCUUGACGGUACCUAACCAGAAAGCCACGGCUAACUACGUGCCAGCCGCCGCGGUAA